UAGAGAGAGAUCCUCGCAGGGCGGCAGGCGGCACCGGACGCUGGCAGAAGGUUCUGGUCCACCCUUGUCGCCAGACGAUGUCUUUUUGGGUUGCGUACUUGGAUUUUUUCACAAUCACCAAAACCCCUUAAGAAAAAGCACCGGCCGCCUGGCCACCCUGCAAGGAUAUUACUCUGUGUGAGAGGUCGAAUUCAACGAACAAAACGGAAACGGAAAUUACAUUCCAAGCUCUGGACCGAGUGUGAUCGUGACUUGUUCUAUCCCUUGGGUUCGUAGAAGUAAAUUGUGUUCGAAAAGUGGAAUUUUUUCCUACAUGCUGUCCCAUAUUUAAGUACAUGUGUGGAGUUAAAAACAGAAAUAGAAAGCUUUAAAGAUAGAAAAACCCUGAUUCAACAAAAGAACCAAGAUGGGAAGCACUGU